UGCACCUGCAGUAUAUGGAAGUUCCCAGACUAGGGGAUAAAUCAGAGCUACAGUUGCCGGCCUACGCUGCAGCCACAGCAACCCGGGAUCCAAGCUAUCUCUGUGACCUACACCACACCUCACAGCAAAACCAGAUCCCCAACCCACUGAGUGAGGCCAGCAAUCAAAGCCGCAUCCUCAUGGAUACUAGUCGGAUUCAUUUCAACUGGGACAAAAUGGGAACUCCCUGAAGAACAUCUUGUUGAGUCCCCUGGGCUUUGUCUUACUCCCUUAAACCCCAGACUGGGCAUGGGAGAGGUCUGAGUUGCUCUGGCAACAGCAGAACCCAAGCAGGCCAUUCUGGUCACAAAAGAGGUGCCAGCAAAUUUCCCCCUCUACCCACCCAAGUGACCCCAGGAGCCCUGAUGUCUCCCACCUUCUAUUCAGCAACAGAAAACUACCCAAAAAUGGUGGCUCCCAGCCCUUCACUUAAGUGCAGAAGGUAAACCAGACCUAGAGUCUCCUACUUUUUACCCAGUAGCAGAGACCACUCAGAAUCCUUGGCUCCUGGCUUUCCAUCAGCAGCAGGAAAUGGCCCUGGUAGGCACUCUGUUCUCCUUAGAGCAACAUCAGAGACAGAGUGGAAAUACUAGGGGAAGUGCUCUUCAUCCUGGAAUUCAGUGUCUUACACCCCCUACCUAAUAACAACGGUAGGACAGGGAGGCUCAAGAAAGUGCCAUCCCAUGCCCAUAGCACAAGCAGGGAUCCAGUAGAGAGCUCAAGCAGAGCCAGAAAGAGGAAGUAGGACAAAACUGUAUUGAAAAGAAGACUCAGUAACUAAACUAUCAUUGAAACUGCCACCCACAAGAGUAGGACAGAACCUAUAUGCUAAACCUAAACAGAGCAACUGCCUGGUAAAACAGAAGAUUUCAAUAGCAUCAGUGGUUGCAAAUAUAAUAUCCAAGACGUAAGCACACAAUAAAAAAGUGAAGAACUUAUUUGCUGUUGUUUUGCCAUACCAAGAGUCAGGAAAACCACAACUUGAAUGAGAAAAGAUAAACAACUGAUGUCAAUACUAAGAUGAAUCCAGAAAUUGGAACUUGGAGUUCCCGCCAUGGCUCAGCGGUUAACAAAUCCGACUAGGAACCAUGAGGUUGCGGGUUCGAACCCUGGCCUUGCUCAGUGGGUUAAGGAUCUGGCGUUGCUGUGAGCUGUGGUGUAGGUUGCAGACGCAGCUCGGGUCCCACAUUGCUGUGGCCCUGGUGUAGACCGGUGGCUACAGCUCCAAUUCAACCCCUAGCCUGGGAACCUCCAUAUGCCAUUUUUAAAGCGGCCAUCAUAGGAGUCCUCUGGUGGUGCAGAGGGUUAAGGAUCUGGCGUUGUCACUGCUGUGGCAUGGGUUCGAUCGCUGGCCUAGGACCUUCUGUAUGCCGCAGGUGCAGCCAAAAAAUAAUAAAUAAAAUAAAGCAGCCAUCAUAAAAGACAAAGACUAAGAGUGGAAAAAAAUAAAUAAACCAACAAUAUGAUGGUUAUAAGAAACUCAAUUCAUAGGUAGGAUGAAAGUAAAAGCUUUGAAAAAGAUAUAUUGUGCUAACUUGCACAAAAAAAGGUAGAGUAGCUAUGUUACUAUCAGAUAGAGUAGAUGUCAGAGAAAAGAAAAUUACUAGGGACAGAG
rnacentral:lncRNA from 1 species